GCCAGCUCUCCUUUUCUUAGCUCUUCUGACUCUUUCUGUCCUGUUCUUUAUUCUCCAUUCACAAGCAGUGUGAGGCUCUAUGAGGCUGGAGAUGUCUGAUUAAGUGUCAGCCUCUCCUAUACAGCCUUCCCUUAACGUGAUAUUUCGAGUUUCCAGAAUCAGAGAGCGAGAGACAGAGAUGAUAGCUGGGAAAGGUGAAUGUUCUGCAGGAUUCAUCUCAUCCUAACACACCACACUGUCUCUACACUGAGUAUACAACACAUUCAGAACACCUGCCCUUUCCAUGACAUAGACUGACCACAACGUGAAUCCAGGUGAAAGCUAGGAUCCCUUUUUGAUGAUGUUAAAUCCACUUCAAUCAGUGUAGAUGGAAGGGAUGGAGACAGGUUAAAGAAGGAUCUUUAAGCCUUGAGACAACUGAGACAUGGAUUGUGUAUGUGUGCCAUUCAGAGGGUGAAUAGGCAAGGCAAAAGAUUUAAGUGACUUUGAACAGGGUCUGGUUGUAGGUGUCAAGUCCAACUCAUUAUAAGGAAGGUGUUCCUAAUGAAUUGCAUACUCAGUGGACGUCCCCUAAUGGCAAUUUAGGGCCGUUCUAAUCUAAUCUAAUAUUUCCAGAUAUAAUAAAAGUAAACCUGAUCUGUGUCUCUGAGACACUUUCAAACUACUCUGGGAAGCAGAUGACAGAGUUAGAGAUUUUGAAAGGGACAUUAUACUGGAAAGUGAGACUUAUCAGAGUCUCCUAAACUAAUUUAGACGGUAGCACUCAUAGCCCUUGGAGUACACACCCUCAGCACUGUCUCCGUGUGUUGGUAUAGAGAGGAAGGGUUGCAGAUAACACUUCAUCUAAUUCUCCCUCUUUGAAAGGGCAUGGAGACGGCUGCUCUAUAGUAGGCAGGGCUCCUCCUCGAUACUAAUGCCGACCCAGGGGGUUGAGGAAAAGAUCAGGGGACCGAUCAAUAGGAGACAUUAAGUAUUUCCGAUGGUUUCAUGAGGUCUGUGUGAAGCGCCACUAUUUAUGUGUGAGUCCCUGUUGGAGAGAGAGGGCGGAGUGGAGGAGGGGAGGAGGGGAGGAGUUGUCUUUGUCCAAGUCGUUGAGGAAGUCAGACUAGGGUGAACUUUACUUGGCGUGAGAGGUCAGAAAUAGAUAGGAGAAGAGGAGAGAUCACAGAGACAUAGGAGAGGAAGAGAGGAGGUCAGAGAGACAGUGGAGAGGAGGAUGACAGAUAGACAGAGGAGAGGAGAAGAGAAGGUCAGAGAGACAGGGGAAAGAAGGAGAGGAGGUCAGAGAGAGGAGAGUAGGAGAGGAG
rnacentral:lncRNA from 1 species